UCUGUAGAUGGCCACUAGAGCUAAUCUUUUCUGCAAACCCUUCCCUAAUGACUCCAGUUACUACUGAUCUUCUUCUGACAAUUAAAAGUUUGUGCCAAUUACUUUCUGCUAUGUUUUUACUUCAUUUUAUGUACCUCAUGUCCCCACAUAGCCUGCAAGUGGCAGAACAGUAUCAGCUGUUCUCUCUGUGUCCACUCCUCACUCCACACCAUUGGUCACUCAGUGUUGGGCUUAUUAUCCUCCUUUCUGUUGGAAACUUAAAUUUGCCUUGGGACAGAGAAAGUGCUACACCCUAAGAUUCAGGUAAUGGGGUUCUCUUCUGCCAUGGACCUUGCCUCAAAGCAACAUGGGACUCCAGGAUCUGCUGCAAUGCCGAGAAGUUUACUUAUACUUCAGGCAUUUCUAUUUACUAAAAGCAAGGGCAAUUUAAAUAAUUUUUAUCUCUUAUAUGGGAUUUUCUUUUUUCUGACAUUCUCUUCUAUCCUUUUCCCUUUUUGACCUCAGUAAUAUAACUUCAAUUUUGGAAUGAAAGUUGGGGGAUGAAUAUAAUUUCAUCUGCAGAAAUGAGCUGCCUGUCUAGCACAGGGAUCAUCAAGUUUUAAUGUAAAAGUUGAAAUAGUAAAUCUUUCCAGCUUUCAGGCCAUUCUGUCUCUGUCAUGAUGACUUGACUGUGACAUUGCUGUCCACAAGCAGCCAGGGAAAAUACAUAAACAAGUGGGUAUAAAACUUUAUUAACCACUAUGGGCAGGGGGCUGGAUUUGGCCUCUGCCUGUGGUCUGCCCAGUUCUGGUCUAGCCUACCACUUCUGAGGACACAUUCUGUAAUUAGGAUUAUGUAAGACAAGACUUCACUCUACUUCAACAGAAUUUAUAGGUCUCCAAAGAAUCGAAUGAAGUCUGAUUUUCUGAGUCACAAUGGAAAUAGUAAGGUGGGUGGUUGUGAAAGAAAUCCCAACAUUAGAAAAUACAGGCAUUCUAAAGAUUAAUGUCUGGGCAAAAGAACACACUGUGUUUUUCUACUAAAAAAACACGAAAUGAGAAACAAGCAUGGUGGGGAAGUGGCCACUACCCAAAGCCUCUUGAGUAUGCCCCACAUUUACAGUUUGCCUGGGUUUAGAGACACUGCCCUUUUCCAAGAGCCAGAGGCCCCAAAUGGAAAAUUUACCCUUCCUUUUUGCUGUCUAUGAAUCAACAGAAAGAUUCCUCCUGUGACCCUUGGACUCCUGAGGAGGACAAUGCAGCGCUCCAGGCUGUUUUCUCCGGCACGUUCAUGGUGGGUGGAUGAGAUUCCCUCUCCAUCCCAGCACAGUGGUGGGCUUGUUCAGGCUUGGCACGAUUGGCCAACAUCCCCAACCCGCCUGGACAAUAGGAACAUUCAACAAUCUGAGUACCAAUUGCUUGAAGUGAAUGCAGGCAGCCUGGCUCCAGGACCUACACUCUGCUAUGGGAUCUCUUCAUCUGUCUGCAUCCCUGCUGCCCUUGUGCCACUGGGAUCAGCCAACACAAUGGGCAAACCAUAAAGCCAGAAGGCUCUUGCAGAAACCCCGUUCCCUCCACUCUCUGAUGAAGUCAACGCGAGAACGCCCGCACCUCACCUCGGCACUCCACAUCAGGGUCUCCCCAGAAGAGUUCCUGGCACUCGCUGCAGGUGCGGCCUCCAAACCCAGGCAUGCACUGGCACUGCCCUGUGAACUGUGGCCAGAACACAGACCUUAGUCAAGCAGGCUUCAGGCCAGAAGCCAGUUGUCAUCUUUUUUUUCUAGCUGCCAGUUAGAAGUGGGAAUGAACUGUUCACCUGAGAAGGUCUCCAUUGACUAGGAAAAGGGACUCCCGCUUCGAUCGUAGGUGUCGAGAGCCCAUGCCAACAUCUAACUGCUCUUUUGCAACAGGGCUUGGAAAGGUCUGUGGCAUAUUAUUAUUUAUUUACCUGUUUCCUCACUUUUAUCCUCGCAGAUCAGCCACAAUCCUGGGCCACCUUUGACUCGCCUGACUUAGGGAGUAUGUCCUCCUUAGUAUGUGUCAGGAAACAACAGCACUUUUUACAAUGCUGGGUAUGGCUAAUUGGUUCCUUUCAAGUUGAGAAGCUAAGAAAAAAAGUCUGCUUCAGCGGCCAGGUACUGAAGAGAAGAGAAAUAGCACACCCUUGUCUAUUCUUAUGUGAGUCUGCAUCUGCAGCUGGGACCCUCUAUUGAAAUGCUAUGGGUGUGUCUGAUGGGGAGUCUGUGCACAGUUAUGUGGACCCAGCCAAGGGGUACAAAUGAAGGCUGAGAUCCAGGCCACGCUGUGUUUGCCAAGCCAUGUGCCCUGGGGCCUUGCUCUAACUGGGGCAAAGUCACCAUAAGCUGACCCCUGGGCUCAUAAAGGCAUCAUCCCCAGCAGCAGUCCCUCACCUCAUUGCAAGAUGGCCCGAAGGAAUGAGCAGCGUUGCAGUUGCAUGGGUCACAGCCAGUGCCACUGGCCAGCUGCCAGGUAUUAGGUGCACAGCGAUCACAGUUCUGCCCAAUCACAUUAGGAAGACACAAGCACUGACCAGUGGCUUUGUCGCACUGGCAGUCAGAGCCGUUACAGUGCUCUUGCACGGUGCCCAGGUAAUUACAGACACACUCUGAAAAAGAACAUCACAUUUACUUAUUGUCACACUCCCAAAUACACAGGCAUGCAGACGUUAGCCACAUCUAAACGCUAAGAUGUUCCCACUUCAGAUCCUGACCUUGAAAUGCAAAGAAGGAAAGAAAUGGAGGUGAUUCAAAAAGAAAGCUAAAAUUAUUGUUGUUUAGAAGUUCUCAUGUCUUACACAGUUCUGACAUUUCCCAGAUACACACAGUGAUACAUUUCACCUAAAAGUAUGUUCAAAAUACACAGAUUUGACAAGAUGCUGGUGAGUCAUUUUAAAAUUGAAGGUUUAACUGAAAAUAAUAAAAAAAAAUGCCAGUGGAAAUUGAGAUAUCUAAUAAUUUCAAACUCUUGGCAGGGAACAGCAGUAAUAAACGUGUCAGACAUAGCAGGUAAAAGCCCUUUAAGCUACUAAGGCUUUAAGGAAUCCAGUCCUGCUGGUCCCUAGCAUUCCACACGUUUGUAUAAACAAAGCCAGGAGCCUGGGGGCUGUGCAGCUGCAGCAGGAGGAAAUGCUAGUUGAUCUCUUGGUAAGAGAGAAAUAAAGAGUUCCAAAAGAGAAAUGUUAGAGAUGCUACUUCUUUCUCUUCCUUAAGCUGGAAGGCUCUAUUCCAUCAAUGCAACUAGAAAAGGUGGGACCACAGUGGGUAUUUAGGAUUUCAAAGUCCAUCCAACCAGCAAGUUCAUCGGCAAAGCAUACCAUCAAUACCCUCUACUGGAUGCCAUUUAUCAUGGGGACAGCUACAUGGUUUUUCUUUCCUGUUAUCUCUCCCAGGCACCAAGUCAUAUCUUGAGA